rnacentral:lncRNA from 1 species
AUACCCUGGGAAACACCCAGCUGUCGGCCAAUCAGGGCAGAGAUUCCCUGGGAAACGCCCAGUCAUGGACCAAUCAGAGUGGGGAUUCCCUGGGAAACGCCCGCCCAUUGACCAACCAGGGCAGAGAUGCCCUGGGAAACACCUGGCCAUGGGCCAAUCAGGACGGGGAUGCCUGGGAAAUACCCAGCUAUGGACCAAUCAGGAUGGGGAUGCCCUGGGAAACGCCCAAUCAUAGACCAAUCAGGACAGGGAUGCCCUGGGAACACCCAGUUAUGGACCAAUCAGGGUGGAGAUGCCCUAGGAAACACCUGCCUGUGAACCAAUCAGGGCAGGGGUACCUAGUAAACACCUGGCCAUGGGCCAAUCAGGAUGGGGAUACCCUGAGAAACACCCAGCUGUGGACCAAUCAGCACGGGGAUGCCUGGGAAAUGCCCAACGAUGGACCAAUCAGGGCAGGAAUACCCUGGGAAAUGCCCAGUCAUGAACCAAUCAGGGCAAGGAUGCCCUGGGGAACACCCAGCGAUGGACCAAUCAGGGCAGGGAUACCCUGGGAAACGCCCAAUCAUGAACCAAUCAGGGCAAGGAUGCCCUGGGACACGCCCGCCCGCUGACCAAUGAGGGCGGGGCGCCCCCGGGGCCGGCCAAUGACUCACGUAGAUGCUGGGGGUGGGCGGGCUGAGCUUGUCGCGGGGCAGCUUCUCCUGCGAGUCGAUGCGCGGCUUCACCGACUGCGCCGGGGACAGGUAGGACUCCCGGAACGGGCCCGGCAGGCGCGCCUGCCUGGGGGCGGGGCAGGGGGCGGGGUCAUGGGUGGGGUCACGGGGUCAUGGGUGGGGUCACGGGGUCAUGGGUGGGGUCACGGGGCAUGGAUAGGGACAUGGGGACAUGGGGAUGGGGACAUGGGGAUAUAGGGACAUGGGGACAGGGAUAGGGACACGGGGAUAGGGAUAUGGGGAUAUAGGGACAAUGGGGACAAGGGACAUGGAUAGGGACAUGGGGACAUGGAGACACAGGGAUGUGGAUAGGGACACGGGGAUAGGGACAGAAGGAUGGGGAUACAGGGAUAUGGGGACACGGGGACAUGGGGACACAGGAUAUAGGGACAUGGCAACAUGGGUAGGGACAAAGGGAUGGGGACAGAAGGAUGGGGACAUGGGGACAGGGGGAGGUGGACAGGGACAGGGGGAUGGGGACAGGGGCACAUGGGGACAGGGGGAUGGGGACAGAAAGAUGGGGACAGGGGGACACAAGGACACAAGGACAGGGUCACCCAACGGCCCAGGGGGUGGGGGGGGGCCCGCAACAUGUGCGAGGCCACGUCCCCACAGAGCCCCCACAGAGACCCCAAACAGCCUCCAGAGACCCCACAGAGCCCCUGCAGAGGCCCCCAGCCCCAUAAAGGCCCCGUGGAGCCUCCGUGGAGCCUCCCUAAAACCUCCCCGCCCCAAAAAGAGCCUCCACAGAACCUCCCUAGGGCCUCCAGGGCCUUCAGAGCCCCCACAAAGCCCCCCAGAGCCCCCAUAAAGCCUCCCCAGAGCCUCCCCAGCCCCCCAGAACCUCCACAAAGCCCCCCAGAGCCUCCAUCAAGCCUCUGUAGGGCCUCCCCGGCCUCCUAGAGGCCCCAUAAACCCCUCUAGAGCCUCUCUAGAGCCUCCCCAGCCCCCUAGAGCCUCCACAGAGCCUUCCUAAAUGCCUCUGGAGCCCCCUAGAGCCUCCCCA